UUAAGCGACUAAGCGUACACGGUGGAUGCCCUGGCAGUCAGAGGCGAUGAAGGACGUGCUAAUCUGCGAUAAGCGUCGGUAAGGUGAUAUGAACCGUUAUAACCGGCGAUUUCCGAAUGGGGAAACCCAGUGUGAUUCGUCACACUAUCAUUAACUGAAUCCAUAGGUUAAUGAGGCGAACCGGGGGAACUGAAACAUCUAAGUACCCCGAGGAAAAGAAAUCAACCGAGAUUCCCCCAGUAGCGGCGAGCGAACGGGGAGCAGCCCAGAGCCUGAAUCAGUGUGUGUGUUAGUGGAAGCGUCUGGAAAGGCGCGCGAUACAGGGUGACAGCCCCGUACACAAAAAUGCACAUAUUGUGAGCUCGAUGAGUAGGGCGGGACACGUGGUAUCCUGUCUGAAUAUGGGGGGACCAUCCUCCAAGGCUAAAUACUCCUGACUGACCGAUAGUGAACCAGUACCGUGAGGGAAAGGCGAAAAGAACCCCGGCGAGGGGAGUGAAAAAGAACCUGAAACCGUGUACGUACAAGCAGUGGGAGCACGCUUAGGCGUGUGACUGCGUACCUUUUGUAUAAUGGGUCAGCGACUUAUAUUCUGUAGCAAGGUUAACCGAAUAGGGGAGCCGAAGGGAACCGAGUCUUAACUGGGCGUUAAGUUGCAGGGUAUAGACCCGAAACCCGGUGAUCUAGCCAUGGGCAGGUUGAAGGUUGGGUAACACUAACUGGAGGACCGAACCGACUAAUGUUGAAAAAUUAGCGGAUGACUUGUGGCUGGGGGUGAAAGGCCAAUCAAACCGGGAGAUAGCUGGUUCUCCCCGAAAGCUAUUUAGGUAGCGCCUCGUGAAUUCAUCUCCGGGGGUAGAGCACUGUUUCGGCAAGGGGGUCAUCCCGACUUACCAACCCGAUGCAAACUGCGAAUACCGGAGAAUGUUAUCACGGGAGACACACGGCGGGUGCUAACGUCCGUCGUGAAGAGGGAAACAACCCAGACCGCCAGCUAAGGUCCCAAAGUCAUGGUUAAGUGGGAAACGAUGUGGGAAGGCCCAGACAGCCAGGAUGUUGGCUUAGAAGCAGCCAUCAUUUAAAGAAAGCGUAAUAGCUCACUGGUCGAGUCGGCCUGCGCGGAAGAUGUAACGGGGCUAAACCAUGCACCGAAGCUGCGGCAGCGACGCUUAUGCGUUGUUGGGUAGGGGAGCGUUCUGUAAGCCUGUGAAGGUGUGCUGUGAGGCAUGCUGGAGGUAUCAGAAGUGCGAAUGCUGACAUAAGUAACGAUAAAGCGGGUGAAAAGCCCGCUCGCCGGAAGACCAAGGGUUCCUGUCCAACGUUAAUCGGGGCAGGGUGAGUCGACCCCUAAGGCGAGGCCGAAAGGCGUAGUCGAUGGGAAACAGGUUAAUAUUCCUGUACUUGGUGUUACUGCGAAGGGGGGACGGAGAAGGCUAUGUUGGCCGGGCGACGGUUGUCCCGGUUUAAGCGUGUAGGCUGGUUUUCCAGGCAAAUCCGGAAAAUCAAGGCUGAGGCGUGAUGACGAGGCACUACGGUGCUGAAGCAACAAAUGCCCUGCUUCCAGGAAAAGCCUCUAAGCAUCAGGUAACAUCAAAUCGUACCCCAAACCGACACAGGUGGUCAGGUAGAGAAUACCAAGGCGCUUGAGAGAACUCGGGUGAAGGAACUAGGCAAAAUGGUGCCGUAACUUCGGGAGAAGGCACGCUGAUAUGUAGGUGAAGCGACUUGCUCGUGGAGCUGAAAUCAGUCGAAGAUACCAGCUGGCUGCAACUGUUUAUUAAAAACACAGCACUGUGCAAACACGAAAGUGGACGUAUACGGUGUGACGCCUGCCCGGUGCCGGAAGGUUAAUUGAUGGGGUCAGCGCAAGCGAAGCUCUUGAUCGAAGCCCCGGUAAACGGCGGCCGUAACUAUAACGGUCCUAAGGUAGCGAAAUUCCUUGUCGGGUAAGUUCCGACCUGCACGAAUGGCGUAAUGAUGGCCAGGCUGUCUCCACCCGAGACUCAGUGAAAUUGAACUCGCUGUGAAGAUGCAGUGUACCCGCGGCAAGACGGAAAGACCCCGUGAACCUUUACUAUAGCUUGACACUGAACAUUGAGCCUUGAUGUGUAGGAUAGGUGGGAGGCUUUGAAGUGUGGACGCCAGUCUGCAUGGAGCCGACCUUGAAAUACCACCCUUUAAUGUUUGAUGUUCUAACGUUGACCCGUGAUCCGGGUUGCGGACAGUGUCUGGUGGGUAGUUUGACUGGGGCGGUCUCCUCCUAAAGAGUAACGGAGGAGCACGAAGGUUGGCUAAUCCUGGUCGGACAUCAGGAGGUUAGUGCAAUGGCAUAAGCCAGCUUGACUGCGAGCGUGACGGCGCGAGCAGGUGCGAAAGCAGGUCAUAGUGAUCCGGUGGUUCUGAAUGGAAGGGCCAUCGCUCAACGGAUAAAAGGUACUCCGGGGAUAACAGGCUGAUACCGCCCAAGAGUUCAUAUCGACGGCGGUGUUUGGCACCUCGAUGUCGGCUCAUCACAUCCUGGGGCUGAAGUAGGUCCCAAGGGUAUGGCUGUUCGCCAUUUAAAGUGGUACGCGAGCUGGGUUUAGAACGUCGUGAGACAGUUCGGUCCCUAUCUGCCGUGGGCGCUGGAGAACUGAGGGGGGCUGCUCCUAGUACGAGAGGACCGGAGUGGACGCAUCACUGGUGUUCGGGUUGUCAUGCCAAUGGCACUGCCCGGUAGCUAAAUGCGGAAGAGAUAAGUGCUGAAAGCAUCUAAGCACGAAACUUGCCCCGAGAUGAGUUCUCCCUGACUCCUUGAGAGUCCUGAAGGAACGUUGAAGACGACGACGUUGAUAGGCCGGGUGUGUAAGCGCAGCGAUGCGUUGAGCUAACCGGUACUAAUGAACCGUGAGGCUUAACCUU
rnacentral:rRNA from 1 species